UACGGAGGAUGCAAGCGUUAUCCGGAAUUAUUGGGCGUAAAGCGUCCGCAGGUGGCACUUCAAGUCUGUCGUCAAAGACCGGGGCUUAACCCCAGAAAGGCAGUGGAAACUGAAGUGCUAGAGUGCAGUAGGGGUAGAGGGAAUUCCCGGUGUAGCGGUGAAAUGCGUAGAGAUCGGGAAGAACAUCGGUGGCGAAAGCGCUCUGCUGGACUGCAACUGACACUCAGGGACGAAAGCUAGGGGAGCGAAUGGG
rnacentral:rRNA from 1 species